CAGGUAUUCAACUGUUCGUCGGAGAUAGAUUGUCCCUCAGGUCAUUGUUGUAUUGAGCUUCUCAAGGUAUCAGAGACCGAAUUUUUGGGCGUCUGCAGAGAACAUAAAAAAAUCGGACAGCACUGCAUAGAUAAAUUUUGGGUAAGUUCUUGCAGCUUGCUAUGUCGGUGAUUCCAGCUGUAGACUAAAUUUUGAUCAAGGCAAGAAAAACCAAAUCCAACACUACAGCUAGAACGAGCGUCUUAGAAUGAGUAGAAUUGCAAAGUUUGGUUGCGAAAUGUUGUAAAAUGAAGAAAAUAUAGCCCUGUGAAGUUCGCAAAUUUUGUACUGAUAUGUUUGUAUUACACGCGGUAAAACUAACCACUUGCGGCUCAAAAAUGGUUAUUUUUCACACACGUAGUUCAAAUAUAUACAAAAUUUGCGAACUUCACUGCAGGGCGGUGAUUUGCGAAGUUCACAGCUGUGGUAAUGGAUUCGUUCUUCUUGUCUAGAUCAAAAUUUCGUCUUUAGCUGCAGGAAUCAUCCGUCAAUCAGUGCUACAAUGUUGGAUCAACUGGUUGAACCUUGGUCAGUUUUCUCAAAUACAAAUAGCGCUUAUGAUAAUAAAUUCCCUGUAUUGAACGUAUGUUGCGCUUCUUAAUCCUCAACUCCCCCAAUUCAUAGUUUCAUGCCGAGCUAGUGUCAUGGUAAAUGACCAAAACUGUUGUUUCGGCGUUGUUCGUGGGAGGUCAUGAAGUUUGUUUUGUCAAUGUAUAUGUAAAUCAACUUUUCAAUUAUGAAUUAUAGAAGGAACAGCCUCAAGGGUUAAAUCCGAGAUUGUAUACCCGUCGAAUCGACAUAACAUGCUUUUAGUCACAUCGCUGUUGCCCAUUUUACAAAUUUCGGGAUAACCCACAUUACCCGUCUCUACCCCUAACUCCAAAUUUUCGCCUUCCUUUUCUAGCCUGGAGAUAGCUGUCCAUGUGCACGCGGGCUCACCUGCACAAAGGAUCCAUUUUCCAAAGAUGAAGUUCACACUUGUGAGACAGUUGCGAUACACCAGGAACCCUGGGGGAUGUUUAAGGAAAAGAUGUGACUCGCAAGAAAAGACAUUUUGUUGCUUGCUUACGAUGAAUAUAUAAUUGCACAGUUUAAUUCGUGUCUUUUAAUUCAUA